rnacentral:lncRNA from 1 species
GGGGCUGUUCAGGGCCACGUGGAUUUUGUUAUGAAGAGUGGAGUGGUGUCCAUUGUCAUGACUCACCAGAGAGUAGUGGGGCCGCGUGGAAUCUAUUACAGAAAGUGGAGUAAGGUAGUGGCCAUUAUUGUGACUUGCCAGAGAGUUCGGGCCUGAUGGUUGAAGCUCGACUGGGAUGUCUGAUGGAGCGGAAUGGCUCUCUAUCUCAGCAAUCCAGGAGAAGCUCGGAUGUUUUCGAGGUUGCUGACGAGCCUAUUAUUGUCGGAUGCCUUGGGCGCUGAUGCUGUAGGUGAAAGUCAUUUGCUGUAGG